rnacentral:rRNA from 1 species
UACGAGGGGGGCAAGCGUUGUUCGGAAUUACGGGGCGUAAAGGGCUCGUAGGCGGUGAAUCGGGUUGAAAGUGAAAGUCGCCAAAAAGUGGCGGAAUGCUCUCGAAACCAAUUCACUUGAGUGAGACAGAGGAGAGUGGAAUUUCGUGUGUAGGGGUGAAAUCCGUAGAUCUACGAAGGAACGCCAAAAGCGAAGGCAGCUCUCUGGGUCCCUACCGACGCUGGGGUGCGAAAGCAUGGGGAGCGAACAGG